GACGAACGCUGGCGGCGUGCUUAACACAUGCAAGUCGAACGAAGAGCGAUGGAAGCUUGCUUCUAUCAAUCUUAGUGGCGAACGGGUGAGUAACGCGUAAUCAACCUGCCCUUCAGAGGGGGACAACAGUUGGAAACGACUGCUAAUACCGCAUACGAUCUAAUCUCGGCAUCGAGGAUAGAUGAAAGGUGGCCUCUACAUGUAAGCUAUCACUGAAGGAGGGGAUUGCGUCUGAUUAGCUAGUUGGAGGGGUAACGGCCCACCAAGGCGAUGAUCAGUAGCCGGUCUGAGAGGAUGAACGGCCACAUUGGGACUGAGACACGGCCCAGACUCCUACGGGAGGCAGCAGUGGGGAAUCUUCCGCCAUGGACGAAAGUCUGACGGAGCAACGCCGCGUGAGCGAUGACGGCCUUCGGGUUGUAAAGCUCUGUUAAUCGGGACGAAAGGCCUUCUUGCGAAUAGUGAGAAGGAUUGACGGUACCGGAAUAGAAAGCCACGGCUAACUACGUG
rnacentral:rRNA from 1 species